rnacentral:tRNA from 1 species
UAUAUUCUGUUGUAUGGUGCAUAUAAGUUUUUGAUACUUAAGGUAAUAGUUUAAUUCUUUUGAAUAUAA